rnacentral:rRNA from 1 species
GUGGGGAAUAUUGGGCAAUGGAGGCAACUCUGACCCAGCAAUGCCGCGUGAGUGAAGAAGGUUUUCGGAUUGUAAAGCUCUUUGAUCGGGGACGAAGAAAUGACGUUACCCGAGGAACAAGCCCCGGCUAACUCCGUGCCAGCAGCCGCGGUAAUACGGAGGGGGCUAGCGUUGUUCGGAAUUACUGGGCGUAAAGCGCGCGUAGGCGGACCAGAAAGUUGGAGGUGAAAUCCCAGGGCUCAACCUUGGAACUGCCUUAAAAACUCCUGGUCUGGAGGUCGAGAGAGGUGAGUGGAAUUCCGAGUGUAGAGGUGAAAUUCGUAGAUAUUCGGAGGAACACCAGUGGCGAAGGCGGCUCACUGGCUCGAUACUGACGCUGAGGUGCGAAAGCGUGGGGAGCAAACAGGAUUAGAUACCCGAGUAGUCC